rnacentral:rRNA from 1 species
GACGAACGCUGGCGGCGUGCUUAACACAUGCAAGUCGAACGGAAAGGCCCUGCUUUGGUGGGGUGCUCGAGUGGCGAACGGGUGAGUAACACGUGGGUGACCUGCCCUUGACUUUGGGAUAACUUCAGGAAACUGGGGCUAAUACCGGAUAGGAGCUCCUGCUGCAUGUUGUGGGGUGGAGAGUUUCGGCGGUUGGGUGUGGUCUCGCGGCUUCUGAUCUUGUUGGUGGGGUAGUGGCUUACCAAGGGUGUGACGGGUAGCCGGCAUGAGAGGGUGACCGGCAAAAUUGGGAUUGGGAUACGGCCAAGACUCCACGGGGAGGAAGAAGUGGGGAAUAUUGAACAAUGGGCGGAAGCCUGAUGCACCACCGCGGCGUGCGGAAUGACGGCUUCCGGGUUGUAAACCGCUUUCGCCUGUGACGAAGCGUGAGUGACGGUAAUGGGUAAAGAAGCACCGGCUAACUACGUG